UCUACGGGUGGCAGCAGUGGGGAAUAUUGGACAAUGGGCGAAAGCCUGAUCCAGCCAUGCCGCGUGUGUGAAGAAGGCCUUCGGGUUGUAAAGCACUUUCAGUGGGGAAGAAAGCCUUGGGGCUAAUACCCUCGAGGAAGGACAUCACCCACAGAAGAAGCACCGGCUAACUCCGUGCCAGCAGCCGCGGUAAUACGGAGGGUGCGAGCGUUAAUCGGAAUUACUGGGCGUAAAGCGCGCGUAGGCGGUCUGAUAAGCCGGUUGUGAAAGCCCCGGGCUCAACCUGGGAACGGCAUCCGGAACUGUCAGGCUAGAGUGCAGGAGAGGAAGGUAGAAUUCCCGGUGUAGCGGUGAAAUGCGUAGAGAACGGGAGGAAUACCAGUGGCGAAGGCGGCCUUCUGGACUGACACUGACGCUGAGGUGCGAAAGCGUGGGUAGCAAACAGGAUUAGAUACCCCCGGUAGUC
rnacentral:rRNA from 1 species